rnacentral:tRNA from 1 species
UGCGGUGUAGUUCAGCCCGGUAGAACGUGAGAGUCAUAACCUCAACGCCGCUGGUUCAAAUCCAGCCGCCGCAACCA